rnacentral:rRNA from 1 species
UACGGGGGGGGCAAGCGUUGUUCGGAAUUACUGGGCGUAAAGGGCUCGUAGGUGGCCAACUAAGUCGGACGUGAAAUCCCUCGGCUUAACCGACGGAACUGCCUGUCAGACUGGGUUGCUUGAGACCGGGAGAGGCGAGUGGAAUUCCCAGUGUAGCGGUGAAAUGCGUAGAUAUUGGGAGGAACACCAGUGGCGAAGGCGGCUCGCUGGACCGGAACUGACGCUGAGGCGCGGAAAGCGUGGGGAGCAAACAGG